CGGCAGCACGGGCUUCGGCCUGGUGGCGAGUGGCGAACGGGUGAGUAAUAUAUCGGAACGUACCCAAGAGUGGGGGAUAACGUAGCGAAAGUUACGCUAAUACCGCAUACGAUCUACGGAUGAAAGUGGGGGAUCUUCGGACCUCAUGCUCCUGGAGCGGCCGAUAUCUGAUUAGCUAGUUGGUAGGGUAAAGGCUCACCAAGGCGACGAUCAGUAGCUGGUCUGAGAGGACGACCAGCCACACUGGAACUGAGACACGGUCCAGACUCCUACGGGAGGCAGCAGUGGGGAAUUUUGGACAAUGGGCGCAAGCCUGAUCCAGCAAUGCCGCGUGAGUGAAGAAGGCCUUCGGGUUGUAAAGCUCUUUUGUCAGGGAAGAAACGGUAGAGGCUAAUAUCCUUUGCUAAUGACGGUACCUGAAGAAUAAGCACCGGCUAACUACGUGCCAGCAGCCGCGGUAAUACGUAGGGUGCAAGCGUUAAUCGGAAUUACUGGGCGUAAAGCGUGCGCAGGCGGUUUUGUAAGUCUGACGUGAAAUCCCCGGGCUCAACCUGGGAAUUGCGUUGGAGACUGCAAGGCUAGAAUCUGGCAGAGGGGGGUAGAAUUCCACGUGUAGCAGUGAAAUGCGUAGAGAUGUGGAGGAACACCGAUGGCGAAGGCAGCCCCCUGGGUCAAGAUUGACGCUCAUGCACGAAAGCGUGGGGAGCAAACAGGAUUAGAUACCCUGGUAGUCCACGCCCUAAACGAUGUCUAC
rnacentral:rRNA from 1 species